rnacentral:tRNA from 1 species
GUAUUGGUGGUUCAUUGGUAGAAUUCUCACCUUCCGUGCAGGAGAUUCGGGUUCCAUUCCUGGCCAAUGCA